UUCCAGACUCCUACGGGAGGCAGCAGUGGGGAAUAUUGCACAAUGGGGGAAACCCUGAUGCAGCGACGCCGCGUGAGUGAAGAAGUAUUUCGGUAUGUAAAGCUCUAUCAGCAGGGAAGAAAAUGACGGUACCUGACUAAGAAGCCCCGGCUAACUACGUGCCAGCAGCCGCGGUAAUACGUAGGUGGCAAGCGUUGUCCGGAUUUACUGGGUGUAAAGGGCGUGCAGCCGGAGAGACAAGUCAGAUGUGAAAUCCACGGGCUCAACCCGUGAACUGCAUUUGAAACUGUUUCCCUUGAGUGUCGGAGAGGUAAUCGGAAUUCCUUGUGUAGCGGUGAAAUGCGUAGAUAUAAGGAAGAACACCAGUGGCGAAGGCGGAUUACUGGACGAUAACUGACGGUGAGGCGCGAAAGCGUGGGGAGCAAACAGGAUUAGAUACCCUAGUA
rnacentral:rRNA from 1 species